GGACUACUGGGGUUUCUAAUCCUGUUUGCUCCCCGAGCUGUCGCGCCUGAGCGUCAGCGGUCGGCCAGGGCACUGCCUUCGCCAUUGGUGUUCUUCCGGAUCUCUACGCAUUUCACCGCUCCACCCGGAGUUCCAUGCCCCUCUCCGACGCUCAAGCCGCCCCGUCUGCCUGGACCUCUCCCGGUUAAGCCGGGAGCUUUCACCAGACACGCGGGCGGCCGCCUGCGCGCCCUUUACGCCCAAUAAGUCCGGACAACGCUUGUCUCCUACGUAUUACCGCGGCUGCUGGCAC
rnacentral:rRNA from 1 species